rnacentral:rRNA from 1 species
GGGAUCAUUAUCGAGUGUUUAGAACUCCCAAACCCACUGCGAACCACAGCGUCGUUGCCUCGCGGACCGCCCCGGCGCCCUCGGGCCCGGACCAAGGCGCCCGCCGGAGGGACCACAAACUCUUGUAUCUGGAUGCAUUGCUCUGAGUAAACAAGCAAAAUGAAUCAAAACUUUCAACAACGGAUCUCUUGGUUCUGGCAUCGAUGAAGAACGCAGCGAAAUGCGAUAAGUAAUGUGAAUUGCAGAAUUCAGUGAAUCAUCGAAUCUUUGAACGCACAUUGCGCCCGCCAGUAUUCUGGCGGGCAUGUGCUGAAUCGUAAUCGACCUGUUCGAGCGUCAUUUCAACCCUCGGGCCCCCUUCGGGGACGGUACCGUAGUACGAUAAUGACUUACCGAUACCGUAAUAGCCAUAGAACCARAGGGCGCGGUGUUGGGGGUCCGGCCUUGGCCGCCCCCGAAAUGCAGUGGCGACCCCGCCGCGGCCUCUCCUGCGCAGUAAGCAAACGCUCGCAACGAGGGACCCGGAGGACGAGUCCGCCGUAAAACGCCCACUUCCUAGAAGUUGACCUCGGAACAGGUAGG